ensembl:misc_RNA 7SK 7SK RNA
GGAUGUGAGGGCCAUCUGGUGUCCCCUUCCUCCCUCACCGCUCCAUGUGCGUCCCUCCCGAAGCUGCGUGCUCGGUCGAAGAGGAUGACCUUCCCCGAUAGAGGAGGACCCGUCUUCGGUCAAGUGUAUAGGAGUACCUGCGCUCCCCUGCUAGAACCUCCAAACAAGCUCUCAAGAAGGCAGUAAUUUGUUCUUACUAAUAAACACUUAUUCUAGAAAAAAAAAAAAAAAAAGAAUUA